rnacentral:tRNA from 1 species
GGUCGUAGAGCUGGUUAGCACUAGUUUUUUGCGCUGGGGGGUAGAAAUGGCCA